rnacentral:rRNA from 1 species
GACGAACGCUGGCGGCGUGCUUAACACAUGCAAGUCGAACGGAAAGGCCCUGCUUUUGUUGGGUGCUCGAGUGGCCAUCGGGUGAGUCACACGUGAGUAACCUGCCCUUGACUCUCGGAUAACUUCAGGAAACUGGGGCUAAUACCGGAUAGGAGCUCCUGCUGCAUGGUGGGGGUUGGAAAGUUUCGGCGUUUGGGGAUGGACUCGCGGCUGAUCGGCUUAGUGGUGGGGUUGUGGCUUACCAAGGCUUUGACGGGUAGCUGGCCUGAGAGGGUGACCGGCCACAUUGGGACUGAGAUGCGACCCAGACUCGUACGGUAGGCAACGGAGGGGAAUAGUGCACAAUGGGCGGAAGCCUGAUGCAGCAACGCCGCGUGCGGGAAGACGUCCUUCGGGUUGUAAACCGCUGUCGCCUGGGACGAAGCGAGAGUGACGGUAAUGGAUAAAGAAGCACCGGCUAACUACGUG